rnacentral:tRNA from 1 species
CGCGGGGUGGAGCAGCUCGGUAGCUCAUCGGGCUCAUAACCCGAAGGUCGUCGGUUCAAAUCCGGCCCCCGCAACCA